UUGAACGCUGGCGGCAUGUCUUACACAUGCAAGUCGAACGGUAACAGGUCUUCGGAUGCUGACGAGUGGCGAACGGGUGAGUAAUGCAUCGGAACGUACCCAGUCGUGGGGGAUAACUACGCGAAAGCGUGGCUAAUACCGCAUACGCCCUGAGGGGGAAAGCGGGGGACCUUCGGGCCUCGCGCGAUUGGAGCGGCUGAUGUCGGAUUAGCUAGUUGGUGGGGUAAAGGCCUACCAAGGCGACGAUCCGUAGCUGGUCUGAGAGGAUGAUCAGCCACACUGGGACUGAGACACGGCCCAGACUCCUACGGGAGGCAGCAGUGGGGAAUUUUGGACAAUGGGGGCAACCCUGAUCCAGCCAUGCCGCGUGAGUGAAGAAGGCCUUCGGGUUGUAAAGCUCUUUCAGACGGAAAGAAAUCGGGUGCGUGAAUAGCGCGCCUGGAUGACGGUACUGUCAGAAGAAGCACCGGCUAACUACGU
rnacentral:rRNA from 1 species